CUUGAUGUUUCUUUUUUUUUAGAAGGCAUGAGUAUAGAUUCAGCAAUACUAAAAUGAUGCCUGUAAACAAAAUAUGUGAAUGAUGAAGAUUUGAUUGUUUAUGCUUUGCAACAUGAUAAAUGUCAUUCACCAUUAGAUUAAAUCUUAAGGAAGCUGCUCGAGCUUUAUAUAUACUUAUGGUAACCUGACCUGGCAAUCUACAACUAAACUUUCUUCCUCACAAGCCGAACCUUCACAAAAUUUUCUUUGAUAGGACUUGCUAUUGCCAUGGAUGCUGAUGUCUUUCAAGAGUAAAGCAAGCCACAUGCUGAUUCCAAGUAAUAAGAAAAAAUUUCAAUCAGAUCACCCUCAAGCAUCCAUCCAAAGGGCGCAUACACAUAACUAUAUCAACAGUAUCUGAACACCUAUAUGUUCUAUUCAGUAUCUGACAUCAAAAAUAUUUUAUGCGAGUGUUUUUUAUUUUUUUAUUAUUAUUAUUUUUUUUUAUCAACUGCAGUUAUAAGAUUAAAUAUAACUGUGUGAAUAAAAUAUUAACAAAAAACACCAUUCAAAAUGUCAAACAAAAACAAAGUAGGGGAAAUUACACUUUACUCAACUCACCUAUGGUGUAAUUGUUUUUCCGGUUCACGAGUUUGAUGUAUUUAAACUGUAAUAAAAUUGGCAGAGUGUUUCCUGUGCUGCUUUUCAA